rnacentral:rRNA from 1 species
AUUGAACGCUGGCGGCAGGCCUAACACAUGCAAGUCGAACGAGUGGCGGACGGGUGUGUAAUGUCUGGGUCACCGCCUUAUGGAGGGGGAUCACCACUGGACCCGGUAGCUAAUCCCGCAUACUAUCGGAUUCGCCCAGAUGGGAUUAGCUAGUGGGUGGGGUAACGGCUCACCUAGGCGACGACCCCUAGCUGGUCGGAGAGGAUGACCAGCCACACUGGGACUGAGACACGGUCCAGACUCCUACGGGAGGGAGCAGUGGGGAAUAUUGCACAAUGGGCGCAAGCCUGAUGCAGCAAUGCCGCGUGUAUGAAGAAGGCCGUAGGGUUGUAAAGUACUUUCAGCGGGGAGGCGUUACCGGCAGAAGAAGCACCGGCUAACUCCGUGCCAGCAGCCGCGGUAAUAC